GACGAACGCUGGCGGCGUGCUUAACACAUGCAAGUCGAGCGGUAAGGCCCUUUCGGGGGUACGACGAGCGGCGAACGGGUGAGUAACACGUGGGUGACCUCGCCCUCCAGCUCUGGGAGUAAGCCUGGGAAACCGGGUACUAAUACCGGAUAUGACUCCAUGACGCAUGUUGUGGGGUGGAAAGCCUUGUGCGGCUGAGGAUGGGCCCGCGGCCUAUCAGCUUGUUGGUGGGGUGAUGGCC
rnacentral:rRNA from 1 species